rnacentral:rRNA from 2 species
UUGACCUCAAAUCGGGUGAGACUACCCGCUGAACUUAAGCAUAUCAAUAAGCGGAGGAAAAGAAACUAACAAGGAUUCCCCUAGUAACUGCGAGUGAAGCGGGAAAAGCUCAAAUUUAAAAUCUGGUGGUCUUUGGCCAUCCGAGUUGUAAUUUAGAGAAGCGUCUUCCGCGCUGGACCGUGCACAAGUCUCCUGGAAUGGAGCGUCAUAGAGGGUGAGAAUCCCGUCUUUGGCAUGGACACACCAGGGCUUUUGUGAUGCGCUCUCGAAGAGUCGAGUUGUUUGGGAAUGCAGCUCAAAAUGGGUGGUGAACUCCAUCUAAAGCUAAAUAUUGGCGAGAGACCGAUAGCGAACAAGUACCGUGAGGGAAAGAUGAAAAGCACUUUGGAAAGAGAGUGAAACAGUACGUGAAAUUGUUGAAAGGGAAACGCUUGAAGUCAGUCACGUCGACCGAGACUCAGCCUUGCCUCGGCUUGGUGUACUUCUCGGCUGACGGGUCAGCAUCAAUUUUGCCCCUUGGAUAAUGGCAAGGGAAAUGUGACACCUUUAUGGUGUGUUAUAGUCUCUCGUCGCAUGCAAGGGUUGGGAUUGAGGAACUCAGCACG